AGCUCCAGUAGCGUAUGCUAAAGUUGUUGCAGUUAAAAAGCUCGUAGUCGAAUUUAGAAUUGAAUGAGUGAACAAGCUUUCGUGGUUUGUUUAUUCUUUAUUUAAAAUUUACCCACCGGGACGGUGUUGUUGUAAAUUUAAUUUCAAUUUUUAAUUUAAUGGUUUGGAGAAUUUAUUGCUCUCUUCCAUUACACUCACUGUGAAAAAACUUUAAUGUUUAAAGUAAGCUCUUCUAUAUGCUUGAUCUUUCUAGCAUGGGAUGAGAAAAUAAGCUUUUUCAAGAAAUUUUUUGGUCAAAUUAAUUCUCAUAGAAAAAAGAAUGAUUGAGAGGGGCGAUCGGGGGCACUCGUACCCGGAGGUCAGAGGUGAAAUUCUUGGAUUCUCCUGAGACGAACAUGUG
rnacentral:rRNA from 1 species